rnacentral:lncRNA from 1 species
GGCGGUGGUGAUUAUGGAGGAAGAAAUGAUGGUUGAUAGGAUUGUGGCUUAGAAAAAUAUAAACUAGUGAACAAAGAUUACAGAUUUGUGAUAAUUGUAGUGGAAGUGGUGACAAUAAAAAAGGCAGUGGUGAUUAAGAAAGAGGCGACGGUGGUGGUGAUUGGUAAUUAAAGAAGAAGGUGUUUGAGAUUUUAAUGACCGGCUACUGAGGGCAAUAUAGUAUAUAAUGUUGUAAUAAUGGUGACUCGUUUUUUUAGUUAGAUUCUUAAAUAUGGUUUAUUUUUUAGCUAUUCAGCCAAUUUUCCUAAUUUUUUUGGGGCUUAUUCGUGAAAUAGCAA